CGAAACGUCAGCCAUCUUAACAAUUGCAAACAAGGUGCAAGACAUUUUUGCUGCCGCGCAGUUUUGGGCCAAAAAGUCACCGAAAACCAGCAAAAACGGUCGGAAUUAGCCAGGAUUACUGAACGGGACCAAGGUAGAAGUCGUUGAAAUGCAGUUGCCCCGUCAAAAUCGGUUCCCGCUUCCAACCUGCUUCGUCGGUGACUACCUCCAGGAUUACACUACUCUGACCGGCAGGCACGCCUGACCUACAUGGCUGCCGCGUUGAACCCGGAACAACGAUUGCAGCAUAGAAACCAACCACCUCUUCCGCCACAAACGGGGGUCUGCCAGCAAGAAGAGAACUAUGAAGAGGGCAAACCCGGAAGACACGAAGCUGGUAUGUACCGGAUUGUCGGGACAGGACAACAGCAACGCGUAGGUGCUAGUCGAGAAUGUGUUUUGUGCCAUGGCAUCCUGAUGAGAAGAAAAUUGCUUAAAGGAAAUCGUAGAUUUGUGUGAAAUUUUCUCGGUGGAGUAAUUGAGGUUAUGAUCGAGGAAAUGCGUCAUUGCGGAAGUGCGUCGUUGUAAUCUUGUGAAUUGUAAUCGUAAGUCUGAAUAUGAAAAAAAAUAAGCCUAAUAAAGUUGUUUUGGAAACCUU